GCAUGGCUAAAACAUGCAAGUCGAACGCGAAAGUCCUUCGGGGCGAGUAGAGUGGCGAAAGGGCGAGGAAUACGUUCCUACGUACCCCGAGGUUUGGGAUAGCCCAGGGAAACCUGGAGUAAUACCAGAUGUGGUCUUCGGAUCAAAGAUUUAUCGCCAUGGGAGCGGGGAAAGCCCUAUCAGGUUGUUGGUGAGGUAACGGCUCACCAAGGCUUAGACGGGUAGCGGGUGUGAGAGCAUGACCCGCCGCAUCGGGACUGAGACACUGCCCGGACUCCUACGGGAGGCUGCAGUAACGAAUCUUCCGCAAUGCGCGAAAGCGUGACGGAGCAAUGCCGCGUGCAGGAUGAAGCCCCUCGGGGUGUAAACUGCUGUCAGAGUUUAGGAAGAUCUGACCAAACUCAAAGGAAGGGCCGGCUAACUUCGUGCCAGCAGCCGCGGUAAUACGAAGGGCCCGAGCGUUAUUCGGAAUCACUGGGCUUAAAGCGUGCGUAGGCGGAUGUGAAGGCGUUUUGUGAAAUCCCACCGCUCAACGGUGGAACUGCUGGGUAUACCGCACAUCUUGAGACAGACAGAGGUCGUCGGAACGAUUGGUGGAGUGGUGAAAUGCGUUGAUAUCAAUCGGAACGCCGAAGGAGAAGUCAGGCGACUGGGUCUGUUCUGACGCUGAGGUACGAAAGCGUGGGUAGCGAACGGGUUUAGAUACCCCGGUAGUCCACGCCGUAAACGAUGUGCACUAGGUUGGGGACGUACUGACACGUUUCCUGGCCGAAGCAAAAGUGUUAAGUGCGCCGCCUGGGGAGUACGGUCGCAAGGCUAAAACUCAAAGGAAUUGACGGGGGCUCACACCAGCGGUGGAUCUUGUGGCUUAAUUCGAAACAACGCGAAGAACCUUAUCCUGGGUUUGACAUGUAUGGAUUAACUCCGUGAAAGCGGAGCCACGCCUUCGGGUGGAACAUACACAGGUGCUGCAUGGCUGUCGUCAGCUCGUGCUGUGAAGUGUCGGGUUAAGUCCCUUAACGAGCGAAACCCCUGCCGCUAGUUGCCAACAGGACAGAUAAUGCUGGGGACUCUAGCGGGACUGCCGGCGUCAAGUCGGAGGAAGGUGGGGACGACGUCAAGUCCGCAUGGCCUUUAUGCCCAGGGCUGCACACGUGCUACAAUGGCGUAUACAGAGCGACGCGAGACCGCGAGGUGGAGCAAAUCGCAAAAAGUACGCCCCAGUUCGGAUUGCAGGCUGAAAUUCGCCUGCUUGAAGCCGGAAUCGCUAGUAAUCGCGGAUCAGCAUGCCGCGGUGAUACGUUCCUGAGCAUUGUACACACCGCCCGUCAAGUCAUGGAAGCUGGCAGCGCCCGAAGUCGCCUCGAAUCAGGGGUGCCCACGGCGAGGCUGGU
rnacentral:rRNA from 1 species